rnacentral:rRNA from 1 species
AUUGAACGCUGGCGGCAGGCCUAACACAUGCAAGUCGAGCGAGCGGCGGACGGGUGAGUAAUGUCUGGGAAACUGCCCGAUGGAGGGGGAUAACUACUGGAAACGGUAGCUAAUACCGCAUACCAUCAGAUGUGCCCAGAUGGGAUUAGCUAGUAGGUGAGGUAACGGCUCACCUAGGCGACGAUCCCUAGCUGGUCUGAGAGGAUGACCAGCCACACUGUAACUGAGACACGGUCCAGACUCCUACGGGAGGCAGCAGUGGGGAAUAUUGCACAAUGGGCGCAAGCCUGAUGCAGCCAUGCCGCGUGUGUGAAGAAGGCCUUCGGGUUGUAAAGCACUUUCAGCGGGGAGGCGUUACCCGCAGAAGAAGCACCGGCUAACUCCGUGCCAGCAGCCGCGGUAAUUC